GAUAGGAGGAACCGCUAUGAACGAAGUUCAUACUAGGAAUCGGUUCCGACGACCUGCCCCGCUCGCAUAUGCGAGAGGGGCGAUACAUAUU
ncrna:unclassified sequences GA-cis RNA